rnacentral:rRNA from 2 species
GUGCAAUGCGGGUCUAUAAUGCAGUCGAACGAACUCUGGUAUUGAUUGGUGCUUGCAUCAUGAUUUACAUUUGAGUGAGUGGCGAACUGGUGAGUAACACGUGGGAAACCUGCCCAGAAGCGGGGGAUAACACCUGGAAACAGAUGCUAAUACCGCAUAACAACUUGGACCGCAUGGUCCGAGUUUGAAAGAUGGCUUCGGCUAUCACUUUUGGAUGGUCCCGCGGCGUAUUAGCUAGAUGGUGGGGUAACGGCUCACCAUGGCAAUGAUACGUAGCCGACCUGAGAGGGUAAUCGGCCACAUUGGGACUGAGACACGGCCCAAACUCCUACGGGAGGCAGCAGUAGGGAAUCUUCCACAAUGGACGAAAGUCUGAUGGAGCAACGCCGCGUGAGUGAAGAAGGGUUUCGGCUCGUAAAACUCUGUUGUUAAAGAAGAACAUAUCUGAGAGUAACUGUUCAGGUAUUGACGGUAUUUAACCAGAAAGCCACGGCUAACUACGUGCCAGCAGCCGCGGUAAUACGUAGGUGGCAAGCGUUGUCCGGAUUUAUUGGGCGUAAAGCGAGCGCAGGCGGUUUUUUAAGUCUGAUGUGAAAGCCUUCGGCUCAACCGAAGAAGUGCAUCGGAAACUGGGAAACUUGAGUGCAGAAGAGGACAGUGGAACUCCAUGUGUAGCGGUGAAAUGCGUAGAUAUAUGGAAGAACACCAGUGGCGAAGGCGGCUGUCUGGUCUGUAACUGACGCUGAGGCUCGAAAGUAUGGGUAGCAAACAGGAUUAGAUACCCUGGUAGUCCAUACCGUAAACGAUGAAUGCUAAGUGUUGGAGGGUUUCCGCCCUUCAGUGCUGCAGCUAACGCAUUAAGCAUUCCGCCUGGGGAGUACGGCCGCAAGGCUGAAACUCAAAGGAAUUGACGGGGGCCCGCACAAGCGGUGGAGCAUGUGGUUUAAUUCGAAGCUACGCGAAGAACCUUACCAGUCUUGACAUACUAUGCAAAUCUAAG